CAGAGGGUGCGAGCGUUGUCCGGAAUCACUGGGCGUAAAGGGCGCGUAGGUGGCGGCCCAAGUCCAUGGUGAAAGCUCGAUGCUCAACAUCGAGUCGGCCACGGAGACUGGGUUGCUCGAGCACUGUAGGGGCAGAUGGAAUUCCGGGUGUAGCGGUGGAAUGCGUAGAGAUCCGGAAGAACACCGGUGGCGAAGGCGGUCUGCUGGGCAGUAGCUGACACUGAGGCGCGACAGCGUGGGGAGCAAACAGGAUUAGAUACCCUGGUAGUCCACGCCGUAAACGAUGGGCACUAGAUGCUUGGGGGAGCGACCCCCUGAGUGUCGUCGCUAACGCAGUAAGUGCCCCGCCUGGGGAGUACGGCCGCAAGGCUG
rnacentral:rRNA from 1 species